rnacentral:lncRNA from 1 species
UUUUUUUUCUUUUUUUUUUUUUUUUUUUUGGCCACUUCACACAUUUUUACCACCAUGAAUUGCCACACAUCUUAGCAGAUUCUACUUCAGGUUGUACUAAAUUGGUGUUUUCUCGACUUCUUUGAAAUAUUCUUUCCUGUAGUUAUUGUAUGCAGACUAUUCAUAAAGGCUAGUUCUUGAGUCACUUCAAACUCAGCAUUGACUUCUCAAGUAUACAACGGGGCAGUAUUGGUAACAUUUGUUGACUCACCAAAAGCCAAGCAAAGCUACUUGAAAUCAUUUGCCUUGUUUUUUAAUUAACUGUUGGUGUUGCCACAGUGUCCUCAUGUCUCCAAGCAAGUAUUCUUGCUGAAAAGCUAGUAGUCAUAAAGAAGUUUUUGUUUGGGCCCACUUUCUGGUUGCUACAAUCAAACACAAUUAAAUUAACUCUAACUCACCAUCAGUAUAUAGCUGUCUUUGCUUGGCUAACAAAUGAGCCACUCAGAAAGUUACUUUGGUUACACCCUUAUUCUAAUUUUUUAAAUUAGUAGAUUAUGCUGUGAUAAGAUACUACAUUUUAAGUUUUCUAAUUGUUCUGUUGAUUUCCUGUGGGUUGGGAAUAUUGUGAUGAGUGCUUAGUCUGGAAAUAUAUUUUUGAGCACAGUGAAAGUGUCAUUGCAUAAUAAACACAAUGCUUUGCCAUAUAGUUCUACUACAAUUCACACUCCACUGUGCCUUAAAAGUGCAACACUCAAAGUCCACUUUUUAAAACUUUUUUUGACAUGAUGUAUAUGCACUGGUAAUAAAAAAUAAUAAAAUGUCCGUAUGACAAUAUGUAUGACACUUGAAAUGCUGUUGAGUUUUAUAGCCAUCACUGAGAUUUGUAGCAUGUUGAAUAGCAGUGCAAAACAAUGAAAGCACCACAUAUGGUUACUGUCACAAUUAUUCACCUCUGCCUUUGUAGCAUGAAAGCAGCCAUAGUCAAUGUGUAAAUGAAUGAACAUGGCUGUGUUCCAAUAAAAUUUUAUUUAUGGACACUAAAA